rnacentral:lncRNA from 1 species
CAGAAUUUCAUAGAAAUAGUUUUAUUUCAUUUAUUGGUAAGAAAUGUUGGCCACCAAAUUUGAGAUGUCAGCUCUUACAGGAAUAGAGAGAGCUCUAGAAAACCCCCUCUGGAGACUGCAUUUUUUCCAGAAGAAUAGCUAUUACCCGUUCCAGAAAGUUUGUGAAGUCACUGUCUAUAAAAUACCAUGGGAAGGUACAUAUUGGAAAGCCAGAAGGGCUUCUGAUUAUAGCCACUUAUAAUGAGUCUCAUUCCUUUUACAUUUUUUUUUCCCGAGUUUUCAAGGAGGAUAGCAAAGUUUUUGUUGAUUUUUUUUUUUUCCCCUCCACCCCUUUUAGAAGUGUAUUAAGCAGUUGCACUAACUGUUUAUUCAUCCGGAUCCACAGCUCAGUCAUGGGUAAAUUGGUCUUUUCUGAUCCUCAGGAAACAACUUCAGCAGAUGGUUUUCAUCACUGCAUCAGUACAAGCACUGUGACCAGAAGAGUUCUCUUUUAGAUGGAUUUCCUUUCUAGAGACCUAAAGAGCUGCUCAUUAAUCAGACACUGCUUCUGGGGACAGCAGGAAAACAGAAGAAAAAGGAGGCCCUUACACUUAGUGUUCCUCAGUCCAAUCUCAAGACUAAACAACUUGCACAGACUUACAAGGGGAGGCCAGUGUUACAAGUGUUAGCAGUGCACGUGCUCACAGUGUUUCAAGAAUAAAAAACUAACACAACAGAAAAAUAAGACUCA